rnacentral:rRNA from 1 species
CCUACGGGAGGCAGCAGUGGGGAAUAUUGGGCAAUGGGCGCAAGCCUGACCCAGCAAAGCAGCGUGAAGGAAGAAGGCUCUAGGGUUGGAAAACUUUUUUCUCAGGGAAGAAGAAAGUGACGGUACCUGAGGAAUAAGCCAAGGCUAACUACGUGCCAGCAGCAGCGGUAAUACGGAGGUGGCAAGCGUUAUCCGGAUUUAUUGGGUGUAAAGGGUGCGUAGGGGGGAGGUCAAGUCAGAUGUGAAAACUUGGGGCUCAACCCUGAGCCUGCAUUUGAAACUGUGAGUCUUGAGUGCUGUGGAGGCAAGCGGAAUUCCGGGUGUAGCGGUGAAAUGCGUAGAUAUACGGAAGAACACCAGUGGCGAAGGCAGAUUGCUAGACAGUAACUGACGCUGAUGCGCGAAAGCGUGGGUAGCAAACAGGAUUAGAUACCCUUGUAGUC